rnacentral:rRNA from 1 species
AUGCAUAUGGACAUGGAUGGGAUCACAAUACACACGGCAGCAUGCUUUACCAUAGCAUUUUUGUUUCUCACCACAAUCAUCUCCAAGAUCAUUGCAAGAAUCAGAACCAUUCGUCUUACACGCAAAGGAAAAAGAUCACCAAUUACUCUGCGCCCGCCACAAGUUGUGAGUGGAGCUCCUCUAAUGGCAGCCCUGCUCACACUUGUGACGCCCAAGAAGGGUUUACAUGCUGCAAUCCAUGAACUACACAUGAAGAUGGGAAGUGUGUUCACAGUGAACCUUUUCGGGCUAAAGAAGGUGACAUUUUUCUUUGGGCCAGAGGUCACUCCUCAUUUCUUCAAGGGAUCACCAUCCGAGAUCGAUUUCGGGGAUACAGCUAAGAUCAUUGUGCCCGUCCUCGGUCCAGGAGUUCUGUUUGGCGUGGACAUGGCUACCAGGAAUGAGCAGAUCCGAUUUUGUACCAAGGCGAUACAGCCGGCGAGGUUUCGAAGAGAUGUUCAUUCCAUGGUUUGCAUAGUGGAGGACUACUUUGCGAAAUGGAGACAAAGUGGUACGGUUGAUUUAAAGCAUGAGCUUGGCCACCUAAUCGUGUUGAUCGCAAACAGAUGCUUGCUUGGCAAUGAGAUCAAAGGCAACAACUUGGAAGAAGUGUCGAGACUCCUCCAUGAACUAUUUGAAAACAGCUUCCACAUGAUCAACUUAUUCUUCCCGCACCUCCCAAUUCCGCCGCACCACCGACGCGACGGCGCAUGCAAGGCUGGGAGAGAUACUCCACGAGAUAGUCAGAUCACGUAG